rnacentral:lncRNA from 1 species
UAAAAAGAGACAUGGCCCAUCUAGAAUGGUAUAAGAAGAAAUCGGAAAUGGGUUACUACGAUUGCUUCAAAAAUCAGGGGUCUAAAAGGGACAUCAACGUUGAACAAUUUAGGGGAAACCUCACAAUGUACUGGGAAGACAUGGUUGCACAAGUACAGAGGAAGCCCCAGAAGGAAGGAGCAACAUUUCGAACCCGUUGGUUCUAUGCAGGGACAGUUUAUAGGAGAAUGGUUGAACCACUGGACAUUGCUGCCUUCUACAGAGAGGGUGGAACAGACUACAUAAACAAUGGAAGAUCUCUUCAUUACAAGCUGUUGCAGCAAUGGUAUGAAGAAGAUGUGAAACCCCCCUCUAGAGAUAAGCUUGAUUCCAAGAAGCAAAAGGUGUCUGGUAUCCUAACUGAGGAUUCUUUGUUUUGGGCACAUGUGGAGGAGGCCAUCUUGUCAUGCGAAUUGCUCAAGAGUCAAAACUGUACUCUUGAGCAGGGAAAAUCAUCAUGGGAUAAUCUGGUUAAGUUCGAGGAGUAUGUAAUGGAACAUAUUAACAACUAUGCAGCGUCCCCUGAGAUUUUCUCGAGGGAAAGCAGCUUCAUGAAAUGGUGGGGACUGUAUGAGGGCUACAUAGAUACUUGCAGUAAUUCCCAUGGGUCGCCAUUGAUCAACUUCAUGAAGAAACGUAGCUAUAUGAAGUAUGGUUAGAGGGGCAAUCCAGUUUGUGUGUUGUGUUUGUUGUUUUGUGAGCGUUCAAUGGAUAAAACUAGAAAGAGUGACCUUUUUCCCUUUUUCUUGGUUGCUGCCCAUAUUCUCAGCACUAUUUUCUUCCUUCUUUUCCUCUGUUUUUUUGUUAAGAAAUGAAUAUUAUGAUGUUGCUGGGAUGCACUUUCAUUGUUGUUCUAUUACAUUGUGUUUUAUUUAUAUCCUAAACAAAUAAAUCAAAACAAGAAAAUCAAAUAAGACUUAAAGAGUCUUUUCCUUCAAAAAAAAAAAUGGGGAAAAAGAAAAACAUUUUUGUUUAGAUUCAACUCCACCAAAACUUGCAACAACUUCCCAUUGAAAAAUUCCUUUUAAGCUUCUGAAUGAUAUAAAACCAGAUAUGUUCCAGCUAGAAUGGUACAAGAAAGAAAUCAAAAGAUGAGUACAGUGGGUUAUUAUGACAGCUUUAGAAACCUGGGGUGUAAAAGAGACAUUAAAAUGGAACCGAUGGGAAGACAUGGUAGAACACGUAGAGAGGAAGCCUCACCAGGAAGGGGCAGCUUUGCAAACCCUCUGGCUCUGUACAGGAACGAAUUAUAGAAAGAUGGUUGAACCACUUGACAUUGUUCCCUACCACAGAGAGGGUGGAAGACACUACAUAACAUUACACGCUAUUGGAGCAAUGAUGCAAUGAAGAGGAGAAGGGGGCUUUGUCUUCUCAUGCAAAUUGCUCUCAGAGCUCAGAACCUACUCCUGAAGGGAAAGAAUCAUCAUUGAGUGAUCUGGUUAAGUUUGAGGAUUUAUUUAUAUAAUUGAACUGAUUGGAAGCUAUGCAGUGUCGGCCCCCGCCCGAGCAGCUUCAUGAAACGGUGGAAAGAGUUGGAAGAAGUCAUAGAUACUUGCUAUAGGAGCUUCAUGAAGUAUGGAGAGGUGUGGCAUAGAUACUUGCAGUCUCUGAAUUUCCCAAAUCCAAUUUCAGAUUGUGUAUUUAGAUUCGUGGAACUUGUUUUCUUGCUUUUUGUUAGGUACAAUUGAGAUGGGCUGAACCGAAAGGCCCGCCAGGAUGAACAAUAUAAUGGGCCUGAAUUUUAAACCAGCGGAUGGGCUUUGUACUGGAUUCAGCUGUCUGAGCCCAAUGAGUAUUGAAUGUAUUUCUGUAUAAAAUUAAAUUUUUAACAUUGAAAUAUAAGGACUUACUUAAAAACACAUUUGGUAACUUUUUUUUUUUUAUGGUUAAUAAUAGAUUUAAAAAAAAAUUAAAAAUAUAUAAUUUUUUAGGAUAAAUUUGAGGCAUGUUUAGGUAUUUUUCGUGGUAAAGAGUUUUGAGAAGCAAUGGGAAAUAUACAGAAUACUUUAAAAACUUUUGCAUAAGUAAGAUACUUACACGAGGCUUUCAUGAAAAAUAAAUUGAUAAAAACAAUUCUCAUAUUUAAAUUUCGAAACAUAAAACAACUCAGAACUGUUUUUAAAAAUUGUUCUUAAAAAUAGUUUUCUAUUAAGUCACAUUCAAGGAUGCUUUUAUCUUUUAUUUUUCUAUGUUUCAUCCUUGCAUAAAUGGAGUACAAAGACAUAAGUUAAUCUAAUUAACAAAUAUAGAUAAUCAUCCGAUAAAAGAGUAAAUUAGGUGAUGAUCUCUUUAUAUAUGCAAGUAAUGGAAUGAAUGUGAUGAAAAAUAAAAUAAAAAAGUAAGGGGAGAAAUGUUGUAAAUAAAGUGUUUUUAUUGUAGUUCAACGACCUAUCCACUUCCGCACCUUGACAUAUUUCACAAUUUUAAAAGUUUUCUUAAUCAUGAUUCUCUUUAUUAUUCUUUAAGUCCGGAUUUCUUAUGUUUCAAUAGACUUUUACAAUCACUAAGAUAGUGUUUGUUUUUUCACUUAAUUCUAAAUAUAACUUAAAACUAAAUAAUAUUUAAUAAUAUCAGGAUUAGGUUGUUUUUUUUAUAACAUUUUAUUUCUAUAUAAUAUUAAAAAGUAAAGAAAAAUCAAUAUAUUAUUUUUUUCAUUUAAAAAAAGUCAAAUAUUUUGACUUUUUUUUAAGCUAAAAAUUUAUAAUAAAAAAUAAAAAACAAACAAACAAACAAACAACUUAAAGUGUAAAAAUAGAUUGUUUUCAAUAAAAAUUUAAAAAAAAACAAACACCUUCUAAAUAAAAUUCCUUAACCACUCGUUCAAUAGCUCCUUUAAGCACAAAAUGUAUUGAAGUGCUCACAAUGAAAAGAUAAACAAGUUUUGAUUCAAUAUAAUUUUGGGUUAUCUAAUUAAAAGGGUCAUUGAAAACCCAAUUUUAGAAAUAUAACCCUUCAUCAUUUUUUUAUCUCGUGUUAACAAAAAUGCUCUUAUUAUUUUCUUAUAAAAAUAAUCAUUUCUUUUAAAACACACUAUAAAUACUCCAAAUAGCCAAGGGCUUUUAUGUAAAAAAAAAUGAAUUACUCUUCAAAUAAAAAUAUUGGAGGGAAUAAAUUCACAAAUAUGAGGUAUUUCAUCCCUUUUAAAUAAUUAUUUCUAUAAUUUUAAGAGUUUAAGAAGGCUAGACAAAGACUAAUUAUUAGGCACAUUUUGUAAAAACACUAGUUAUUAGACACAUUUUUUGCUCAAUCAAGCAAUCACACAGUUGACUAAACACUAAUUAUUGGACUUUUUUUUUUUAUAAUAAGUGGAAGACAAGAAUACAAUCGACUACUUUGGUCAAUUAAGCAAUCAUUCAGUUGACUAUAAACUAGUCUUUAGACAUUUUUUUUUAUAAUAAUUGGAAGACAUGAAUACAAUCGAUUACUUUGGUCAAUUAAUCAAUUAUUCAAGAAAUUUAGAAAAAUAUUGGAUAAAAGAUAUAUAUAACGGAUUAUUUCAAAUUGAAACUUAAGAUCAUAAAUCUUACUUUUAAUGUUGAAAAAUCAUGUAAAACACAAGUUUUUAUCUUUGAAGUAAUCAAUUUCAUUUUUCACAAAAAAUCAUUAAUAAUACAUGAAUGAAUUCUUUUAAAAAAAUCUUAUAAAAAAUGUGAUUAUUUUUCAUUCCCAAAUAUUUAGGUUCUAAAGGUCAAUUUUAAAGCAUACUUAUCCUUACUAUGCCUUACAAGAAAAUCUAUUCUAUACAUAUGAUCUUGUAAAAAACUGUAAAUAAAAAAGAAAAAAAGAAAAAAAACCUCUCUUGUUUUCCUCUUUUGAUUGGAUAUCAUUAUCAUACUUAAAAUUAAAUAUUUAAUCAAAAUAUUAUUUUACUAUCAUCAAAAUUUAGAUUUAACCAAACUUUAGGCUAGUAUGUUGAUACGACAAGUUAAUUUUCUAUCUUAAAGUUUUAAAAACUUUUGAAAUUAAACAUUUUCUUACACAUUUAUUUUUAAAGUUUUUAGCAUAAAAUUUAAAAUUGAAGCUUUUAAAGGAAAACCUCAUAAUAUAAUAUACUAGAAAGACAUGGUCAAACAAAUAGAGACGAAGCCUCAAAAGGAAGGGGCAAUGGUUGAACCACUUGACAUUGUUGCCUACUACUAAGAUGGUGUAAGAAACAACAUAACCAAUGGAACAUAUGCACAUUAAACAUUGUACAAUUAUUAUAAAUGUCUUAUACAUUAUGUGUGAAAAUACCAAAAAAAAAGAAAAAUUAUAUUCAACAUUUACAUUUGUAUACAAACAAUGUUUUCGACAAUUUGAUAUAAAAAACAAAUAAAAAAAAUAAAGAAAAACAUACAAAUAUAUUUACAAUGGACAAACUUAUUCAAUUAGUAUAAAUAUCUUGUAUAUUUAAUACAAAUACCUUAUACUUUGUGAAAAUGUAAAAAUAUAGUAUUUAAUAUUUAUACAUGUGGGUAAGUAAUUUUUCUAAUGGUUUGAUUUAAAAAACAAAUAAUGAGAAUCAAGAAAAACAUGCAAAUAAAUUAGUGUGAAUGAUAAAGGGUGUUUUUUACCAUAAAUUUUCAUGGACUUAGCAUCAAUUAUGCAUCUAUAGAUGUUAACCCAAUUAGCAUAAUGUGAAAACCCUUGCACACAAUAUAUAAACCCUAUACUUGAAUUAGGAAGGACAAAAAAAAAAUAGUUAGAGCAAUUGGUACCAUCAAUGAUGACUUCACCUAAAGAAAGGUUAAUGAACAUUAUGUUCUCAACGGAGAGCAACUCUGGUAGAACAUAUGGAGUAAAUCAAUGCCCUUCUUUUAACGAUGAAGUAGCUAAGUCAUGAAAACAAGGUUUUGCUAACAACAUUAAAGGCAAGAAUUCCCCCAAUAUACUCCAAUUCAUAUUCAAUUCACAGACCUUCAACUAACUACUCUCAGUAACGAGCAAACCCAAGUCAAUACAUAAGAUUGAUUAUUACUUAUGAUAAUUGAAACCCUAAUUAAAUAAAUAAGGACACAAAUAUAUAUAUAUAUAUAUAGGGACAGUUGUGUUUUGGACCUAGGUGAACCCAAAAAUUAAGGUUUGGUUUAUAUAACUUACAUAAUUGAUGAAAAUGAUAUAAGAUAUCAAAAUAUCAAAAUACUCAUUGACCUUUCACAUAAGCUUUUUUGGUAUUUAUUGCACUACUAUUCAUUCAACCAUAAUAAUUCUAUUUUAACUAUUUGGAUUUUUCAUUGUUUUUUAAAACUUUUUAUUUAUAAAUAAUUGAAAAUCAACAUUAUUUUCUAUUUUAAAUUAUAAAUAAAGAAAAAUUACGUUCGAAAACUAUUUUAAAAAAUACUUUCUAAAAAAAAUGGUAAUAUGAUUUAUAUUUUUUAUAUUUUCUUUUAGAAAAAAAUAUUUAAUUAAAAAAUGAAAAAUAUUUUUAAAAAUAAAAAUUGGAAACCUUGUUUAGUACUAUUUUUUUUAUAUAAAAAUAAUAAAAAUAAUUAAAUUUCAUUUAUUGAUUAUCCAUUAAAUUUUAUAUGAAAAUUUUGUAUAAGAGUAAAAAGAUUCAAUAUCUUUAAAAAAAGAAAAAAAAAACAAAACAAAAAGUUAGAAAUGAGUAAUACUUAAUUGGGAAUAGAAAAUGGGAAAAAUUUUGAAAUUUACACUCACUAUAUGUCUACGUAGGGAUUAAGGGUAUUUUAGGGAUUAAUGAAGGAUAAUAUCUUUUAACUUAAUUUUUACAUUUUAUUUGGGUCUUGGGAUUAAAUGUACAUUAUAUAUGGAUCUUUGGUUAAUUUUUGGACCCAUCCGGACCCAAAACACAAUUCUCCAUAAAAAAAUAUUUAUUAAAAUAAAUAAAUUAAUAAAAACCAUUUAGAGAGUUUCAUAACUUAGGUGGUGUUUGUUUUUUUGGCUUUUUGGUGAAAACCAUUUAGUUUUAGAAUUUAGGUUGUUUGUUUUUUUACUUUUUCAUGACUUAUUAUAAACUUUUUACAAAAUAGAAAAAGCCAAAAUAUAUGACUUUUUCUAAAUAGAAAAAUAACACAAUGGUUUUUUUUACUUUUUAAUACUUAAUAGAAAUAAAAUAUUAUAAAAACAAACAACCUAAUAUUUAAUACUAUUAAGUAUUAAAGUUCUAUUUAGAAUUAAGUAAAAAAACAAACACCACCUAAGUGUCGAAGCUAUUGUAAGAAAAAAGUAUUAUAUAAUGUAGGGUUUAGGUUCAAAGUCUACCUAAGAUUAAAUUUAAGUCUUAAGACAAAUUCACAUUCAAAACUAGGUUUUUAAGUUAGAAAAAUAGACCCCUUAAACCAAUUAAAUGGUAAAAAAAAAUUACAAAGAAAAUUUCUCUAGCUGGUUUCUUCAUCUUGAAAACUAACGGAAACAUAUAUCAAUAUUUGGUAUGAAAAUUCGUAACCUUAGAAACACAGCUUUGAGUCUUGCUGAGAAAAACAAAGCUUAUUUGCUCGUAGACCAUCGUAGUGGUCGUCAUACCGUGUGAGGACCGGGGAAGCAUCUUUGCUCGUAGACCGGCUUUUGUAGUCUUUCUUUAACAAUUGCAAGUUGUCAGGAUUCCCUUCAUCCUCCUAUAUAAUAUUGUUUUUGGUCUUGUUCUGGUUGUAUCUCCGUGGAAGGAAGGAAGAUGAAUCAAGUUCCUUUGUAUGUAUCAAUGUCUCUGAUUCAUUUUUUGGUUCCUAGAAUCGAAUCCUCGCUCUGUUCUUGCUUAAUUUCUCCUUUUUCUGUUGGGUCUUUCACUGCAGGUUUAGCUCUGCACGGGAACUGGCAAAUUUGGUGCUGGCCUCCAAUCUAAUCGACUGUGCUUUCACCAAAAUUCUUGAACUUAAGAGAGGCCAAACAGCCUUGCCUGUUCAAUACAGACUUUAUCAACUGUCUUCCAAGUGCACAAUUGUAGCUUUUGUCUCUUCACCUGACUGCACUCAAUACCCUCUUCCUGGACAAGGAGAUUUAGAUCGGUCUCCUCUCUUUGACUUCCUCCGUACCGAAGAAUACCCGUCCGUCUCCAUUAACAGAGCAGCAUUAGACCUCUUUACCCCUCUCCAUGAUCAUCUCUCUGGACUAACAGAUGAGGUCAAAAUCUGAUACUUGUUUGAAUUUUCGUUUCCUUUUCGUUAACAAUUGUGAGACACGAAACAGCUUGACCAUGAGAUCUCCCUCAUGGAGUCGAACUACCUGAAGGAUAAGACGUCACACAUAUCCAUUUUCAUGGCAUCGUCACAUGACCCAUUGAUCGGUUGUGAUUCAACUCUUAAUAGGAAUACAGUAGAACCGGUGUUGGUAUCUGUCUUUAGAUCAGCUUGCAUAUAUCUUGUCACUGAAAAAGGAAUGUUCAGAAGUGAGAUUAGUGGCAUUAUUCUGACAUGGAUUUCAUAUGGUUACUUGUUUUGCAGUUGACUCGGAUUGAAGGUCAAUUAAUCAUCACUGGGCACUCCCUGGGAGGAUCCGUUGCUUCUCUCUUCACCUUACGCCUGCUAGACGGCAAUUUAUUAAAGCCCAAAUGCCAUCCCUUUUGUAUCACCUUUGGUUCACCCCUCAUAGGCGACUUUGGCCUCCAAGACUCCAAAUGGAAUUCUUUCUUCCUGCAUGUAGUGUCUAACCAAGACCCAGUCCCCGGACUCUUCCUCCCAUCCGGCAGAUCUCCGCCCACAUCCUCCCAUUCACAAACUACCGGUUACAAGCCCUUUGGGACAUAUCUCUUGUGCUCUGAACUUGGUUGUGCUUGUUUUGACAACCCUGAUUUAAUUUUGAGAUUGCUGAAAGUCAUAUCAUCAGAGGUUGCCGGAGGAUUGCAGGAUGUUGAUUAUGGGGAGAUUUUAAGAAACCUCAAGGAGAGGGCAAUCUGCAAGGGACUGCCGCAGGUGGGUGAACGGUUUGCAGAUCCAUUUUCAGCUGGGAUCAUCAUGGAACUUGAGACAAUUGGAUUUAAUCAAACAAAGGUAAACAGCUUUCUCCCAUCUAAUGAUGUUAUGAAACAUGGUUUACACUUCACCAUAUACUGCAAUAACUGCCCUAUUCAGAUUUAUCUUCUUGUUCUUUGGGAUCUUCCAUAACUCGUCUCAUUUUUAAAAUUCAUGCCAGCUGCUGCAGCAUAACAUUGAUAUCGACGCUAUGAUAAGAACAAUGGAAGAGGAAACCAGAAGCCUAAUCCAGAAAAAUAAAGCUUCCGAUGCCAAGAAACUGAAUGACAUAAAAAGAGACAUGGCCCAUCUAGAAUGGUAUAAGAAGAAAUCGGAAAUGGGUUACUACGAUUGCUUCAAAAACCAGGGGUCUAAAAGGGACAUCCACGUUGAACAGUUUAGGGUAAACCUCACAAAAUACUGGAAAGACAUGGUUGCACAAGUACAGAGGAAGCCCCAGAAGGAAGGAGCAACAUUUCGAACCCGUUGGCUCUAUGCAGGGACAGUUUAUAGGAGAAUGGUUGAACCACUGGACAUUGCUGCCUUCUACGGAGAGGGUAAAACAGACUACAUAAACAAGAAAAGAUCUCUUCAUUACCAGCUGUUGCAGCAAUGGUAUGAGGAAGAUGUGAAACCCCCCUCUAGAGAUAAGCUUGAUUCCAAGAAGCAAAAGGUGUCUGGUAUCCUAACUGAGGAUUCUUUGUUUUGGGCAUAUGUGGAGGAGGCCAUCUUGUCAUGCGAAUUGCUCAAGAGUCAAAACUGUACUCUUGAGCAGGGAAAAUCAUCAUGGGAUAAUCUGGUUAAGUUCGAGGAGUAUGUAAUGGAACAGAUUAACAACUAUGCAGCGUCCCCUGAGAUUUUCUCGAGGGAAAGCAGCUUCAUGAAAUGGUGGGGACUGUAUGAGGGCUACAUAGAUACUUGCAGUAAUUCCCAUGGGUCGCCAUUGAUCAACUUCAUGAAGGAUCGUAGGUAUAUACAGUAUGGACGUUAGAGGGGCAAUCCAGUUUGUGUGUUGUGUUUGUUGUUUUGUGAGCGUUCAAUGGAUAAAACUAGAAAGAGUGUGACCUUUUUCCCUUUUUCUUGGUUGCUGCCCAUAUUCUCAGCACUAUUUUCUUCCUUCUUUUCCUCAGUUUUUUUUGUUAAGAAAUGAAUAUUAUGAUGUUGCUGGGAUGCACUUUCAUUGUUGUUCUAUUAAAUUGUGUUUUAUUUAUAUCCUAAACAAAUAAAUGUAAACAAGAAAAUCAAAUAAGACUUCAAAGAGUCUUUUCCUUCAAAAAAAAAAAAAAUGGGGAAAAAGAAAAACAUUUUUGUUUAGAUUCAACUCCACCAAAACUUGCAACAACUUCCCAUUGAAAAAUUCCUUUUAAGCUCUGAAUGACAUAAAACUAGAUAUGUUCCAGCUAGAAUGGUACAAGAAAGAAAUCAACAGAUGAGAACAAUGGGUUAUUAUGACAGCUUCAGAAACCUGGGGUGUAAAAGAGACAUUAAAAUGGAACCGAUGGGAAGACAUGGUAAAACACGUAGAGAGGAAGCCUCACCAGGAAGGGGCAGCUUUGCAAACCCUCUGGCUCUGUACAGGAACGAAUUAUAGAAAGAUUGUUGAACCACUUGACAUUGCUGCCUACCACAGAGAGGGUGGAAGACACUACAUAACCAAUGGAGGAUCUAAACAUUACACGCUAUUGGAGCAAUGAUGCAAUGAAGAGGAGAAGGGGGCUUUGUCUUCUCAUGCAAAUUGCUCUCAGAGCUCAGAACCUACUCCUGAAGGGAAAGAAUCAUCAUGGAGUGAUCUGGUUAAGUUUGAGGAUUUAUUUAUAUAAUUGAACUGAUUGGAAGCUAUGCAGUGUCGGCCCCCACCCGAGCAGCUUCAUGAAACGGUGGAAAGAGUUGGAAGAAGUCAUAGAUACUUGCUAUAGGAGCUUCAUGAAGUAUGGAGAGGUAUGGCAUAGAUACUUGCAGUGUCUGAAUUUCCCAAAUCCAAUUUCAGAUUGUGUACUUAGAUUCGUGGAACUUGUUUUCUUGCUUUUUGUUAGGUACAAUUGAGAUGGGCUGAACCGCAAGGCCCGCCAGGAUGAACAAUAUAAUGGGCCUGAAUUUUAAACCAGUGGAUGGGCUUUGGACUGGAUUCAGCUGUCUGAGCCCAAUGAGUAUUGAAUGUGUUUCUGUAUAAAAUUAAAUUUUUAACAUUGAAAUAUAAGGACUUACUUAAAAACACAUUUGGUAACUUUUUUUUUUUGGUUAAUAAUAGAUUGUUUAAAAAAAAAUUAAAAAAAUAUUAUUUUUUAGAAUAAAUUUGAGGCAUGUUUAGGUAUUUUUCGUGGUAAAGAGUUUAGAAGCAAUGAGAAUAUAUAUAGAAUACUUUAAAACUUUUGCAUAAUACUUACUUACAUGAUGCUUUCAUAAAAAAUAAAUCAAUAAAAACAAUUUUCAUAGUUGAAUUUCAAAACAUAAAACAACUCAGAAUUGUUUUUAAGAAUUGUUCUUAGAAAUAGUUUUCUAUUAAGUCACAUUCAAGGAAUCGUUUUCAUAUAUGCAAGUAAUGGAAUGAAUGUGAUGAAAAAUAAAAAAUAAAAAGUAAGGGGAAAGAUAUUGUAAAUAAAGUGUUUUUAUCGUGGUUCAAUGACCUAUCCACUUCCACACCUUGAUGUAUUUCACAAUUUUAAAAGUUUUCUUAAUCAUGAUUCUCCUUAUUAUUCUUUAUGUCGAGAUUUUUUAAGUUUUAAUAGACUUUUUCAAUCACUAAGGUGGUGUUUGCUUUUUCACUUAAUUUUAAAUAUAACUUAAAACUAAAUAAUACUUAAUAGUAUCAACUAUUAAGUUGUUUGUUUCUAUAACAGUUUAUUUCUAUAUAAUAUUAAAAAGUAAAGAAAAAUCAACAUGCUAUUUUUGUCAUUUAAAAAAAGUCAAAUAUUUUGAAUUUUUUUAUUUAGCUAAAAAUUUAUAAUAAAUCCUAAAAAGAUAAAUAAUAAUAAUAAUAAAUAAAUAAAUAAAUAAAAACAAAUAAACAACUUAAAGUCUAAAAACAAAUUGUUGUCAACAAAAAAUUAAAAAAACAAGCACUUUCUAAAUAAGAUUCCUUAACCACUCGUACAAUAGCUCCUUUAAGCACAAGAUGUAAUGAAUGAAUACAACUUUGGUGAAAUAACUAAAGUGCUCACAAUGAGAAAAUAAACAAGUUUGGAUUCAAUAUAAUUUUUGGCUAUCUAAUUAAAAGGGUAAUUGAAAACCCAAUUUUGGAAAUAUAACCCUUCAUCAUUUUUUUUACCUCAUUUUAAUAAAAAUACUCUUAUUAUUUUCUUAUAAAAAUAAUCAUUUCUUUUAAAACAUACUAUAAAUACUUCAAAUAAUCAAGAGCAUUUAUGUAAAAAAUGAAUUACUCUUCAAAUAAAAAUAUUGGAGGGAAUAAAUUCACAAAUAUAUGGGGUAUUUCAUCCCUUCUAACUAAUUAUUUCUAUAAUUUAAAGAGUUUAAGAAGGCAAGACAACUAAAUAAAUGAAGUUUUCAAGUUAUUGUCUCUAUCAUAAAUAAAGUCCAAUAAUCACAUUUGUAUCGUUUUGUACAAAGACUAAUUAUUAGGCAUAUUUUGUAAAAACACUAAUUAUUAGACACAUUUUUCGCUCAAUCAAACAAUCACACAGUUGACUAGAAACUAGUUGUUGGACAUUUUUUUUUAUAAUCAUUGGAAGACAAGAAUACAAUCGACUACUUUAAUCAAUUAAGCAAUCAUACAGUCGACUAUAAACUAGUCAUUGGACAUUUUUUUUAAAAUCAUUGGAAGACAGGAAUACAAUCGAUCACUUUGGUCAAUUAAUCAAUUAUUCAAGAAAUUUAGAAAAAUAUUGGAUAAACGACAUAUAGUGGAUUAUUUCAAAUUGAAACUUAAGAUCGGAAAUCUUGCUUUUAAAUCAUGUAAAACACAAGUUUUUAUCUUUGAAGUAAUCAAUCUCAUUUUUAACAAAAAAAAUCAUUAAUAAUAUAUGAAUGAAUUCUUUUAAAAAAUGUGAUUAUUUUUCAUUCCCAAAUACUUAUGUUCUAAAGGUCAAUUUUAAAGCAUACUUGUCCCUACUAUGCCUUAUAAGAGAAUAUAUUCUAUACAUGUGAUAUUGUAAAAAAGUUUAAAAAAUAAAUAAAUAAAUAAAUAAAACCUCUUUUGUUUUCCUCUUUUGACUAUAUAUCAUCAUUAUCAUACUUAAAAUUAAAUAUUCAAUCAAAAUAUUAUUUUAUUAUCAUCAAAAUUUAAAUUUAACCAAACUUUAGGCUAGUACGUUGAUAUGACAAGUUAAUUUUCUAUCUUAAAGUUUUAAAAACUUUGAAAUUAAACAUUUUCUUACACAUUUAUUUUUAAAGUUUUUAGCAUAAAAUUUAAAAUAAAAAAAUACAUUAUUUUCAAAUUCAUUUUGAAAAUUUUUAUUUUAAAAAUAAAAAAUUUAAUAAAAAAAAAUGCAGGCCAGUUUUUUUUCCCUCUUUUUACCCUACAGUUUAAUUAAUUUGAGGUUAGAGGAAAGCUAUGAAAGAAAGAAAAUAAAAAUAAAAAAGAAAAUGAAAGAAUGAAAAAUAUAGCAAAAAAAUUUAAAAGAAAAAAUCUACAAGCUAAUAUUUUUUUCUUAUUUGAGAUGAUAUUUUAUAUUUAGCUUUACUACAAGCUAAAGUCACCAAAACCAUGAUCACAAAAGGGUAAUAUUGAUAUAAUGAAAGAUUAUGAAAAAAAAAAAGUUCUAUAACAAGCAAUAUUUGCUUGACUUUCAUUUAAAAAAAUUUAAAAUCAAAAUACUUUUAGUAAAAUUAUCUAAACAUGUCAAACCUAAACGAAGUGAGUGUUUCAUAUUAAGUUAUUUUUUAAGCCAAAAAACUUAUUUUAAUAGAAUUAAUCACAUAGAUAAAAAGUUGCUAUCGUGGUGGGAAAAAGGUUUUCUUUCAUUUAUUAAAUGCUAAUAAAUUUUGAAUUAUUGAAUUCAUAAAUCUUUUAAUAAAGGUCUCAUUACGUUACAUCUAAGGUUUUAUUGUGUUGGCAUCUUAUGUCUGGUGUUAUUAUUUAUUUUAUAUCCAUUUUAUUGUUUUAUAGUUUAAUCUCAUUUGAUUGUACUAUCAUUAAAUAAUCUAAAUUUGAUUACUAUGAGAUUUUAAAGUUAGAUAUGAUGUCAAUCAUGGUAUAGAUUUUGAAAGAUAUUAUCAAAUCAAAUAUUUAGGGUAUUUGAUAAAUCAAUUUAAUAACUUAAAAUGAUUUAAUAAUUUAUUUAUAUUAAUUUAAAGUUUUCAAAUAAAUUUUUUUAUAAAUAUAAUUUUAGAUUUAAGUAAAGAUAAGUUAAUUUUAAAUUUUAAAUUAAAAUAAUUAACUCAUUCUUAGUUAAAUCUAAAACUAUAUUUAAAAUAAAUAAAAACAGAGAUGGAUAUAAAUUAAGUCAAUAACUCACUUUAAAUCAUUGACUUGAUUUACCAAACACUUCAAAAUCUCACAUUUACAAGACCUGAAGUGGAUCCUUUUCAAUGAAUAUUGUCAUAUUUGUUGGAGUGUACCCAAAAUCCAAAUAUUUCAGUCUUUUUUCUCUUUAUUUCAUUUUAAAAUAAAAUAAUAAUCAUUAUACCAUGAACUUUCAAAAGUACCAUCAUUAUGUCAGUGGAGAUGGGAAGCUGAAAGCCUGAAACAAAUCAAUGGUGAAAGACACCAGUUUUCCAACAACAAAAAAGGCCAAAUCUGAUUCCAACUCAUCCAGUCUAUCUGUGCACUUUGACAACUGAAACACUUUAUUCCAAUUCACAUUUCACUAGAAAUUCCAUUCCAUAUCUACUCAAUAUUCACUGAAAAGGGUUUACAAUGAAAUAACAACUNNNNNNNNNNNNNNNNNNNNNNNNNNNNNNNNNNNNNNNNNNNNNNNNNNNNNNNNNNNNNNNNNNNNNNNNNNNNNNNNNNNNNNNNNNNNNNNNNNNNGAAAUUCAAAGAGCAACACUACUAACAUCUCAGAAUCCUCUGUGCAAUCACUACCAAAACUUUUCCUUACACAUGAAUGAAGAAAUGAGGCUGUACAUAUAUAAUCUGCGGAUGACAACAUGCAAGAAUGCAAAUGGGGGAAAUGGGGAAACAAAUAUUCUAGACAGGGUCUUAUUGGAAAGAAUCUAGGAUUGGGGCUUGAAGAAAAAUGGAAGAAUGGCAUCAUAAGACUGCAGUCUGAGUGGGAGAAGAAUUCAGGCGGGAGAGACAGGUUGAAGAUGAGUUCAGUAAUGAGCUCUCAAGGCUUGGGCAUGGUUCAGGGAACACCCAUUGGGAGAACCCAGAGACAUUUGAGCAAACCCAAGAGAUGGAGGCAGGAGGAGUAGUUGAUAGGGAGAUGUUGGAUAGACAAAUGGAAGUGAACGGGGAUUCUUGAAUACCAGUGAAGCUUCCAGCAAUGGUUAUGUUUGUGCCGAUCACAUUCUGCAAGGUGAUGUGAUCCAAGACAGGGAGUGCAUUGGGGUCAAAAUGGUCAUCUGGGUGGGAGCCGAUUUGGCCUGUUGCACUGAAGGCUGUGUGGAUGUUUUCCAUUGCGACAUCUGAUAUGAUGAUUUCUUGGAUAUAACCACCUCUUCCCUUGGUAGUUCUGAACUCGAUGCCACUGAAUGAGUUGUAUAGGUGGACCUGCUCCACACAGACGUUAGAAAUGCCACCAGACAUCUCACUACCGAAGGCCAGGGAAGAGCCAGAUGAUGAUUGAAGGUUGACCCGUCUGAUGUGUACAUUUGUGGUGGGUCUACCAUAGGCAAUGCCAUAUUCAUCCCAGCCACUCUUGAGUGCAAUGGCAUCAUGGCCCAUGGCAAUGCUGCAAUCCUCUAUGCAGGUGCUAUCUGAAGAAUCUGAAAUCAAAACAUUAUACAAAGUUGACUUAGCAAAAUUCUUUUCAUGACUGAACCCUUCCUGAACAUAGAAAAAAGUAAAAUUAUAAUCUACAUGAACCACUAAACAAACCACAGGUAACAACCUGUUUCCUCUUUCAACAAAUAUCCCUAUCAAUAUACUUAAACAUUCAUAUAUACAUUAAAAACUAAUAUAGAUUUUCAGAAAUAUCUUACCAAUCGGAAGAGGGUUCAAACAAUAAACAAAGACAAAACAAUUCUAGCACUGAUAAUUAAAGAUCCAAAAGUUUAUCAAAUUUAGUAAAAAGAAACAGACCAAAACCUACAAAAUUAUUGUUAAACAAGUGAAAAACAAAACAUUAAAUUAUCUAUUAUCACUCUUGGAGACUGACGGUAUGAAAAUAAGUUCAAAUGCCUCAGAUUCCUUCACCUCCAUUCUUAAUUCCUAGCCUCUUCAACAACCAAGUUUCAAGUACCUUAAUUCGUCCAUCUCCAGAACUGAUAGCAAAGAAGUCCAAAGAAGGGGUAAAGGUUGUUAAUAAAUCUCGGAUAUUCGAUGGGCCCAUGGUCCUGUAUCAAAAGAAUAAAUUAAAUGUCAAAGUCCUUACAAUUCAUAAUUUACAAAUUAGAAAUGAAAUUGUAGAUAUACGAGAGGUGUUCCAAGACGUUAUUAAGGGAGAUUGACUGUAACUGCCUAUUGAUAAAGAAACAAAACAACUUACCAUGACGAAAAUAAUAUAGCUCAAAAUCACAGUAGGAAGUGCCAAAAAAAGGUGGCAAUCCUCUGAAACAUAUGAUGAAGAAGAUAUAAAAAAAUAUAUAAGAAAGACACAGCAUUAAAAAUUUUAAAGCUCGCCAAUAUGUUGCCAAUCCAGUAAAUCAUUUCAUUAACUAAACUGAUUCAGCACUUAAGCUCUAAUAACCUUUGUUUGGUAGCCGAGAAAAUGGAAGAGAAGGAGGAAAAAAAUGCAAUAUCAUGCUAUCUGUUACUGAAUCAAGCCAAACAAUUCAGUUAAACUUGGCUGAACAGCAGUUUUAGCUUUCUUAGCCUGAAUAACGAAAAUUCAAGAUUUUAUCUAUUUUACUUUCCUGCAUUUUCUCAGCUUCCCGGUUUGUCUACGGACAAACUAGAGGAAAAUAAAAUAAAAAAUAAAAAGAAAACUAAAACCAGGUAUUUUCAGUUGUUCUCCAUAAAAAGCAAACGAAAAAUCAACAGAACUAAAUCCUGAGCAAUUACCGAUCCGGCUCAGGCUGAAUUUCCGGUUCUCUUAGAAAAUAUUAUAUAGCAGUUCCAAUAAGGGACCGUCGUGCAUCAUUAUACUAAUUUUCCUCCGUUUUUCGGCAACCAAACAGAGGAUAAACUUGUUUUGAGGAGAAGAUGCACGCUUACCUGUUUUGGCGACCGGCGGCGGCGAGAUGCAAAGAAAAAGAGAGAACGAGAGAGGGGUUUUACCUGUUUUGGCGACCGGCAGCGGCUAGAAGCAAAGAAAAAGAGAGAACGAGAGUGGGGUUUUAGGAACGCAGCCGCGUAGCUGCUCAUUUCGCAAGGGCCCCUUUUUUAUUUCUUUUUCUUUUUUUUCAAUUUUAGGAUUUUUCAUUUUAGCCUCCAUAUUUGAGUGUAUUUAGAUUUGUGGAACCUGUUUUGGGGCUUUUUGUUAGGUACAAUUGAGAUGGGCUGAACCGAAAAGCCCGCCAGGAUGAACAACAUUAAUGGGCCUGAAUUUUAAACCUAUGAAUGGGCUUUAUACUGGAUUCAGCUGUCUGAGCCCAAUGAGUAUUGAAUGUGUUUCUGUAUAAAAUUAAACUUUUAACAUUGAAAUAUGAGGACUUACUUAAAAACACAUUUGGUAACUUUUUUUUUUGGUUAAUAAUGGACUUUAAGAAAAAAUUAAAAAUAUAUUAUUUUUUAGAAUAAAUUUGAGGCAUGUUUAGGUAUUUUUUGUGGUAAAGAGUUUUGAGAAGCAAUAGAAAAUAUAUAGAAUACUUUAAAAACUUUUGCAUAAGAUACUUACUUACACGAGGCUUUCAUGAAAAAUAAAUCGAUAAAAACAAUUUUCAUAUUUGAAUUGCGAAACAUAAAACAACUCAAAACUGUUUUUAAGCAUUGUUCUUAAAAAUAGUUUUCUAUUAAGUCACAAUCAAGGAAGCUUUUAUCUUUUAUUUUUCUAUGUUUCAUCCUUGCAUAAAGGGAGUAUAAAGACUAAAGUUAAUCUAAUUAACAAAUUUGGAUAAUCAUCCAAUAAAUGAGUAAAUUAGGUGAUGAUCUCUUUAUAUAUGCAAGUAAUGGAAUGAAUGUGAUGAAAAAUAGAAAAAAGUAAGGGGAGAAAUGUUGUAAAUAAAGUGUUUUUAUUGUGGUUCAAUGACCAAUCCACUUCCACACCUUGACAUAUUUCACAAUUUUAAAAGUUUUCUUAAUCAUGAUUCUCCUUAUUAUUUUUUAAGUCCGGAUUUCUUAAGUUUCAAUAGACUUUUACAAUCACUAAGAUGGUGUUUAUUUUUUCACUUAAUUCUAAAUAUAAGUUAAAACUAAAUAAUAUUUAAUAAUAUCAAGUAUUAGGUUGUUUUUUUUUAUAACAUUUUAUUUUUAUAUAAUAUUAAAAAGUAAAGAAAAAUCAAUAUGUUAUUUUUUUCAUUUAAAAAAAGACAAAUAUUUUGCCUUUUUUUUAAGCUAAAAAUUUAUAAUAAAAAAAAAAAAGCAAACAAUUUAAAGUGUAAAACAGAUUGUUUUCAACAAAAAUUUAAAAAAACAAACACUUUCUAAAUAAGAUUCCUUAGCCACUUGUACAAUGGCUUCUUUAAGCACAAAAUGUAAUAAAUGAAUACAACUCUGGUGAAAUGACUAAAGUGCUCACAAUGAGAAGAUAAACAAGUUUGGAUUCAAUAUAAUUUUGGGUUAUCUAAUUAAAAUGGUCAUUGAAAACCCAAUUUUGGAAAUAUAACCCUUCGUCAUUUUUUUACCUCAUUUUAACAAAAAAAAGCUCUUAUUAUUUUCCUAUAAAAAUAAUCAUUCCUUUUAAAACACACUAUAAAUACUUCAAAUAGCCCAAGGUUUUUAUGUAAAAAAAAAUGAAUUACUCUUCAAAUAAAAAUAUUGGAGGGAAUAAAUUCACAAAUAUGGGUAUUUCAUCUCUUUUAACUAAUUAUUUCUAUAAUUUUAAGAGUUUAAGAAGGCUAGACAAAGACUAAUUAUUGGACUUUUUUUUUUAUAAUCAAUGGAAGACAGGAAUACAAUCGACUACUUUGAUCAAUUAAGCAAUUAUACAGUUGACAAUAAACUAGUCGUUAGACAUUUUUUUUUAUAAUAAUUGGAAGACAUGAAUACAAUCGAUUACUUUGGUCAAUUAAUCAAUUAUUUAAGAAAUUUAAAAAAAUAUUGGAUAAAAGAUAUAUAUAUAUAUAACGAAUUAUUUCAAAUUGAAACUUAAGAUCAGAAAUCGUGCUUUUAAUGUUGAAAAAUCAUGUAAAACACAAGUUUUUAUCUUUGAAGUAAUCAAUUCAUUUUUCACAAAAAAUCAUUAAUAAUACAUUAAUGAAUUCUUUUAAAAAAUCUUAUAAAAAAUGUGAUUAUUUUUCAUUCCCAAAUACUUAGGUUCUAAAGGUCAAUUUUAAAGCAUACUUAUCCUUACUAUGCCUUACAAGAAAAUCUAUUCUAUACAUAUGAUUUUGUAAAAAAGUGUAAAUAAAAAAAAUAAAAAAUAAAAAAUAAAAAAUAAAAAAAACCUCUCUUGUUUUCCUCUUUUGAUUGGAUAUCAUUAUUAUACUUAAAAUUAAAUAUUUAAUCAAAAUAUUAUUUUACUAUCAUCAAAAUUUAGAUUUAACCAAACUUUAGGCUAGUAUGUUGAUAUGACAAGUUAAUUUUCUAUCUUAAAGUUUUAAAAACUUUUGAAAUUAAACAUUUUCUUACACAUUUAUUUUUAAAGUUUUUAGCAUAAAAUUUAAAAUUAAAGCUUUUAAGGAAAAACCUCAUAAUACAAUAUACUAGAAAGACAUGGUCAAACAGAUAGAGAGGAAGCCUCGAAAGGAAGGGGCAAUGGUUGAACCACUUGACAUUGUUGCCUACUACUAAGAUGGUGUAAGAAACAACAUAACCAAUGGAACAUAUGCACAUUAAACAUUGUAUAAUUAUUAUAAAUGUCUUAUACAUUAUAUGUGAAAAUACGAAAAAAAAAAUAAAAUAAAAUUAUAUUCAACAUUUAUAUUUGUAUACAAACAAUAUUUUCAAUACUUUGAUAUAAAAAACAAAUUAAAAAAAUGAAGAAAAACAUAUAAAUAUAUUUACAAUGGACAAACUUAUUCAAUUAGUAUAAAUAUCUUGUAUAUUUAAUACAAAUACCUUAUACUUUGUGAAAAUGUAAAAAUAUAGUAUUUGAUAUUGAUACAUGUGGGUAAGUAAUUUUUCUAAUGGUUUGAUUUAAAAAACAAAUAAUGAGAAUCAAGAAAAACAUGCAAAUAAAUUAGUGUGAAUGAUAAAGGGUGUUUUUUACCAUAAAUUUUUAUGGACUUAGCAUCAAUUAUGCAUCUAUAGAUGUUAACCCAAUUAGCAUAAUGUGAAAACCCUUACACACAAUAUAUAAACCCUAUACUUGAAUUAGGAAGGACAAAAAAAAAAAUAGUUAGAGCAUUUGGUACCAUCAAUGAUGACUUCACCUAAAGAAAAGUUAAUGAACAUUAUGUUCUCAAUGGAAGAGCAACCCUAGUAGGACAUAUGGAGUAAAUUGAUGCUCUUCUUUCGACAACGAAGUAGCUAAGUCAUGAAAAUGGGGUUUUGCUAACAACAUUAAAUGCAAGAAUUCCCCAAUAUACUGCAAUUCAUAUUCAAUUCAUAGACUUUCAACUAACUACUCUCAAUAACGAGCAAACCCAAGUCAAUACAUAAGAUUGAUUAUUACUUAUGAUAAUUGAAACCCUAAUUAAUAAAUAAGGACACAAAUAUAUGUAUAUAUAUAUAUAUAUAUAUAUAUAUAUAUAUAAAAUAGAGACAAUUGUGUUUUGGACCCAGGUGGAUCAAAAAUUAAGGUUUGGUUCAUAAAACUUACAUAAUUGAUGGAAAUGAUAUAAGUUAUCAAAAUACCAAAAUACUCAUUGAUCUUUCACGUAAGCUUUUUUUGUCUUUAUUGCACCACUAUUCAUGCAACCAUAAUAAUUCUAUUUUAACUAUUUGGAUUUUUCAUUAUUUUUUAAAACUUUUUUUUUAUAAAUAAUUGAAAAUCAACAUUAUUUUCUAUUUUAAAUUAUAAAUAAAGAAAAAUUACGUUCAAAAACUAUUUUAAAAAAUAAUUUCUAAAAAAAUGGUAAUAUGAUUUAUAUUUUUUAUAUUUUCUUUUAGAAAAAAAUAUUUAAUUAAAAAAUGAAAAAUAUUUUUCAAAAUAAAAAUUGAAAACCUUGUUUAGUACUAUUUUUUUAUAUGAAAAUAAUAAAAAUAAUUAAUUUAUUAUCCAUUCAAUUUUAUAUGAAAAUUUUUUAUAAGAGUAAAAAGAUUCAAUAUCUUUAAUAAAAGAAAAAAAAAACAAAACAAAAAGUUAGAAAUAAGUAAUACUUAAUUAGGAAUAGAAAAAGGGAAAAAUUUUGAAAUUUACACUCACUAUAUGCCUAUGUAGGGAUUAAAGGUAUUUUAUGAAUUAAUGAAGGAUAAUAUUUUUUAACUUAAUUUUUACAAUUUAUUUGGGUCUUGGGCUUAAAUGUGAAUGAUAUAUGGAUCUUUAGUCAAUUUUUGGGCCCAUCCGGGCCCAAAACACAAUUCUCCCUAAAAAACUAUUUAUUAAAAUCAAUAAACUAAUAAAAACCAUUUAGAGAGUUUCAUAACUUAGUGUCGAAGCUAUUGUAAGAAAUAAGUAUUAUAUAAUGUAGAGUUUAGGUUUAAAGUCUACCUAAGAUUAAAUUUAAGUCUUAAGACAAAUUCACAUUCAAAACUAGGUUUUUAAGUUAGAAAAAUAGAUCUCUUAAACCAAUUAAAUGGUAAAAAAAAUUACAAAGAAAAUUUCUCUUGCUGGUUUCUUCAUCUUGAAAACUAACGGAAACAUAUAUCAAUAUUUGGUAUGAAAAUUCGUAACCUUAGAAACACAGCUUUGGGUCUUGCUGAGAAAAACAAAGCUUAUUUGCUCGUAGACCAUCCUGGUGGUCAUCAUACCGUGUGAGAACCGGGGAAGCAUCUUUUCUCGUAGACCGGCUUUUGUAGUCUUUCUUUAACAAUUACAAGUUGUCAGGAUUCCCUUCAUCCUCCUAUAUAAUAUUGUUUUUGGUCUUGUUCUGGUUGUAUCUCCGUGGAAGAAAGGAAGAUGAAUCAAGUUCCUUUGUAAGUAUCAAUGUCUCUGAUUCAUUUUUUGGUUCCUAGAAUCGAAUCCUCGCUUUGUUCUUGCUUAAUUUCUCCUUUUUCUGUUGGGUCUUUCACUGCAGGUUUAGCUCUGCACGGGAACUGGCAAAUUUGGUGCUGAGCUCCAAUCUAAUCGACUGUGCUUUGACCAAAAUUCUUGAACUUAACAGAGACCAAACAGCCUUGCCUGUUCAAUACAGACUUUUUCAACUGUCUUCCAAGUGCACAAUUGUAGCUUUUGUCUCUUCACCUGACUGCACUCAAUACCCUCUUCCUGGACAAGGAGAUUUAGAUCGGUCUCCUCUCUUUGACUUCCUCCGUACCGAAGAAUACCCGUCCGUCUCCAUUAACAGAGCAGCAUUAACCCUCUAUACCCCUCUCCAUGAUCAUCUCUCUGGACUAACAGAUGAGGUCAAAAUCUGAUACUUGUUUGAAUUUUCGUUUCCUUUUCGUUAACAAUUGUGAGACACGAAACAGCUUGACCAUGAGAUCUCCCUCAUGGAGUCGAACUACCUGAAGGAUAAGACGUCACACAUAUCCAUUUUCAUGGCAUCGUCACAUGACCCAUUGAUCGGUUGUGAUUCAACUCUUAACAGGAAUACAGUAGAACUGGUGUUGGUAUCUGUCUUUAGAUAAGCUUGCAUAUAUCUUGUCACUGAAAAAGGAAUGUUCAGAAGUGAGAUUAGUGGCAUUAUUCUGACAUGGAUUUCAUAUGGUUACUUGUUUUGCAGUUGACUCAGAUUGAAGGUCAGUUAAUCAUCACUGGGUACUCCCUGGGAGGAUCCGUUGCUUCUCUCUUCACCUUACGCCUGCUAGAUGGCAAUUUAUUAAAGCCCAAAUGCCGCCCCUUUUGUAUCACCUUUGGUUCACCCCUCAUAGGCGACUUUGGCCUCCAACACUCCAUAUGGAAUUCUUUCUUCCUGCAUGUAGUGUCUAACCAAGACCCAGUCCCCGGACUCUUCCUCCCAUCCGGCAGAUCUCCGCCCACAUCCUCCCAUUCACAAACUACCGGUUACAAGCCCUUCGGGACAUAUCUCUUGUGCUCUGAACUUGGUUGUGCUUGUUUUGACAACCCUGAUUUAAUUUUGGGAUUGCUUAAAGUCAUAUCAUCAGAGGUUGCCGGAGGAUUGCAGGAUGUUGAUUAUGGGGAGAUUUUAAGAAACCUCAAGGAGAGGGCAAUCUGCAAGGGACUGCCGCAGGUGGGUGAACGGUUUGCAGAUCCAUUUUCAGCUGGGAUCGUCAUGGAACUUGAGACAAUUGGAUUUAAUCAAACAAAGGUAAACAGCUUUCUCCCAUCUAAUGAUGUUAUGAAACAUGGUUUACACUUCACCAAAUACUGCAAUAACUGCCCUAUUCAGAUUUAUCUUCUUGUUCUUUGGGAUCUUCCAUAACUCGUCUCAUUUUUAAAAUUCAUGGCAGCUGCUGCAGCAUAACAUUGAUAUCAACGCUAUGAUAAGAACAAUGGAAGCUGAAACCAGAAGCCUAAUCCAGAAAAAUAAAGCUUCCGAUGCCAAGAAACUGAAUGACAUAAAAAGAGACAUGGCCCAUCUAGAAUGGUAUAAGAAGAAAUCGGAAAUGGGUUACUACGAUUGCUUCAAAAAUCAGGGGUCUAAAAGGGACAUCAACGUUGAACAGUUUAGGGGAAACCUCACAAUGUACUGGGAAGACAUGGUUGCACAAGUACAGAGGAAGCCCCAGAAGGAAGGAGCAACAUUUCGAACCCGUUGGCUCUAUGCAGGGACAGUUUAUAGGAGAAUGGUUGAACCACUGGACAUUGCUGCCUUCUACAGAGAGGG